rnacentral:rRNA from 1 species
UACGGAGGGUGCGAGCGUUAAUCGGAAUUACUGGUCGUAAAGCGUGCGCAGGCGGUCUGUUAAGACCGAUGUGAAAUCCCCGGGCUUAACCUGGGAACUGCAUUGGUGACUGGCAGGCUUUGAGUGUGGCAGAGGGAGGUAGAAUUCCACGUGUAGCAGUGAAAUGCGUAGAGAUGUGGAGGAAUACCGAUGGCGAAGGCAGCCUCCUGGGCCAACACUGACGCUCGUGCACGAAAGCGUGGGGAGCGAACAGG